CUCAGAGAUGCAUUCACACACCCAAAGGUUUCUAAGCAAUCUCUUCCUUGUACCGAAGAAAUUUACACCCGCUAAACGCAUUUGUCGCAUACCACUAUUUCAAGAUGGAAGGUAUUCACUCUCUCCGAGACCUACUUCUGCUGGGGGAUUGGAUGGUCAAGCUUGACCUGCAAGACGCGUACCUCAAUAUUCUGAUGGUCAAGGACUGCCAGCAGUUCCUGCAAUUCUGGUGGGAGAAGACCAUGUGGCAUUUCAAUUGCCAAACGGGUUACACAUCAAUUGCCACGAACUACUGGCAGACUUGUUUGCCCUUCAAAGUCUAUUAGGGAUUUUGACCAACUGCUCCAUCCUUUUUCGUAUGGACAACGUUUCGGCAGUUUGCUACAUCAACCAUCUCUGAGGCAUUAUGUCCACGGUUUUGGUGGAACUGGCCAAA